rnacentral:rRNA from 1 species
UGGGGAAUAUUGGACAAUGGGGGCAACCCUGAUCCAGCAAUUCUGUGUGCACGAAGAGGGUUUUCGGAUUGUAAAGUGCUUUCAGCAGGGAAGAAGAAAGUGACGGUACCUGCAGAAGAAGCGACGGCUAAAUACGUGCCAGCAGCCGCGGUAAUACGUAUGUCGCAAGCGUUAUCCGGAAUUAUUGGGCAUAAAGGGCAUCUAGGCGGCCAGACAAGUCUGGGGUGAAAACUUGCGGCUCAACCGCAAGCCUGCCCUGGAAACUGUUUGGCUAGAGUGCUGGAGAGGUGGACGGAACUGCACGAGUAGAGGUGAAAUUCGUAGAUAUGUGCAGGAAUGCCGAUGAUGAAGAUAGUUCACUGGACGGCAACUGACGCUGAAGUGCGAAAGCUGGGGGAGCGAACAGGAUUAGAUACCCUGGUAGUCCCAGCCGUAAACGAUGAUUACUGGGUGUGGGCAUGAAGAGUGUCCGUGCCGAAGCAAAUGCGAUAAGUAAUCCGCCUGGGGAGUACGGCCGCAAGGCU